rnacentral:lncRNA from 1 species
CAUUCGAGUGCAGUAUGUUGCGAGACAUAGUGGUUAAAACGUUGGAGCAGCGACACUUAACGGUGUUCGUUGUGUUCAGUGAAGUGAGAUCAAAGUUUGUGAA